AGGUAACAAGCUCAGGCGGGUCUUACGGAACUCCUAGCAAAACCAGGAAUGGAUCACACUGCUAUGCAAUAGGCAUUUCUUCAGUAUAAGAGCCGAGCUUGCCUCUAGACCUACAGAGCUUGGUAGUCGGUCGAAUGGUGAAGUCAUUCGUCUUUGAACCGGAUAGUUUGGUUUUGAGUCGCGCCCCCGCCUUUCCAUUCACUCCAGUGAGCUGGGACUGCAGUUCCUUUACAAUGUAUGAUCUGUGUAAGGACGAUUGUUGCAGCCAAGCGUUUGUCAGCUGCAUCACAUCAGGCUGGCCCCCAUGGUGUCAGGUCUAAGCUUACCAAACACAAUUGUGAGCGAUCAGACUCCAGGCAAAUACGUUUUGCAAAUUAACUUUUUUUAUCAGGUGUUUCCGUACACGUUUCUUCAGAUAAGUGACUCCCUUUGAUCAGUCAACAGCACUAGCGCAUAAAGAGGCUUUGUCUCGGCACAGGGUCAUUUAGUUCCUGUGAUUUUUAGUAUGAAUCAUCCAUUAUCACUACUGGUAUAGUUUCCACUUAUGUCGUCUUUUCUUGCAAACUAAAUUCUCCAUUCUGCGUGCGUGGCUAAUACCCUAAAUAAUGCAGGACCCCUACGAGGUGAAAUGGCGACUGACGCUCGCUUCACAGACGCGCUGUGUGCGAGACCACCCUAUAGAAGCACAUGAAUAAAUUAAUAAGCACAUAAAUAUUACUUCUAGUGACUAAUGCAUACAUGGCUAUUAUUGGAUGUUUAUUUUCAGCAGUGGAAAGCUAACCCAGUCGCAACCCACCUUCUCCUUUCCCAUUUGCAGCCUUUACUAACAUCGGUCCUGCCUGGCCAUAGCAGACGCUUUCCAAUGUGAGCCGGUCAGUUGUCGCUGAGUGGGGUUAGCACAGGGCUCAAAGUUUCGCUGUGCGUUGACACACCUUAUAGGCUUUUGAUGCCAUGGAGUCACGUGUCGACCCGAAUGGUGCAGCGCUGCAAGAGCUCGUCUCUCCUGGACAAAACAACCCCCCCGCCCCGCCAAUUUUAAUGAAUACCAACAAUACACAUGAUUAGUUAUAACCUCUAUGUAAACGGUGCUUUAAAAAAAACACAUCAUGCAAAUGUGUAACUUCAAUCAAUCAAUCAAUCUCCCUCUCUCGUUAGUUGGCUCACCCCUUGCAGAACUGACCCUGUGAUCUUGUAUUCUGAUGCCUGUUUGCUGCAAC